rnacentral:tRNA from 1 species
GACCUUUUGCUUGUAUAGCCUGCUGAUUUCGGCUCAGCAUGAAUAACGUAUGGUUAUGAAGGUUU